UACGUAGGGGGCUAGCGUUGUCCGGAAUCAUUGGGCGUAAAGCGCGCGUAGGCGGCCCGGUAAGUCCGCUGUAAAAGUCAAAGGCUCAACCUUUGAAUGUCAGUGGAUACUGCCGGGCUAGAGUCCGGAAGAGGCGAGUGGAACUCCUGGUGUAGCGGUGGAAUGCGCAGAUAUCAGGAAGAACACCAAUGGCGAAAGCAGCUUUCUGGGACGGUACUGACGCUGAGACGCGAAAGCGUGGGGAGCGAACAGG
rnacentral:rRNA from 1 species